AGUGAAUCUCCUUCGGGAGUGAAGCUAGCGGCGGACGGGUGAUUAACACGUGGGCAACCUGCCUCAUAGAGGGGAAUAGCCUUUCUAAAGGAAGAUUAAUACCGCAUAAGAUUGUAGCUUCGCAUGAAGUAGCAAUUAAAGGAGCAAUCCGCUAUGAGAUGGGCCCGCGGCGCAUUAGCUAGUUGGUGAGGUAACGGCUCACCAAGGCGACGAUGCGUAGCCGACCUGAGAGGGUGAUCGGCCACAUUGGGACUGAGACACGGCCCAGACUCCUACGGGAGGCAGCAGUGGGGAAUAUUGCACAAUGGGGGAAACCCUGAUGCAGCAACGCCGCGUGAGUGAUGACGGCCUUCGGGUUGUAAAGCUCUGUCUUCAGGGACGAUAAUGACGGUACCUGAGGAGGAAGCCACGGCUAACUACGUGCCAGCAGCCGCGGUAAUACGUAGGUGGCGAGCGUUGUCCGGAUUUACUGGGCGUAAAGGGAGCGUAGGCGGACUUUUAAGUGAGAUGUGAAAUACCCGGGCUCAACUUGGGUGCUGCAUUUCAAACUGGAAGUCUAGAGUGCAGGAGAGGAGAAUGGAAUUCCUAGUGUAGCGGUGAAAUGCGUAGAGAUUAGGAAGAACACCAGUGGCGAAGGCGAUUCUCUGGACUGUAACUGACGCUGA
rnacentral:rRNA from 1 species